CCUACGGGGGGCUGCAGUGAGGAAUAUUGGUCAAUGGCCGGAAGGCUGAACCAGCCAUGCCGCGUGAAUGUCAGUGCCCUAUGGGCGUUAAACUUCUUUUGUGCGGGAGCAAUAAUGGUCACGUGUGGCCAGACGAGAGUACCGUACGAAUAAGCAUCGGCUAACUCCGUGCCAGCAGCCGCGGUAAUACGGGGGAUGCAAGCGUUAUCCGGAUUUAUUGGGUCUAAAGGGUGCGUAGGCUGUGAGGUAAGUCAGCGGUGAAAUGCCCCCGCUCAACGGGGUGAAGUGCCAUUGAUACUGACUUGCUGGAAUGCGGAUGCCGUGGGAGGAAUGUGUGGUGUAGCGGGGAAAUGCAUAGAGAUCACACAGAACACUGAUUGCGAAGGCAUCUCCCGAAUCCGAGAUUGACGCUGAUGCACGAAAGCGUGGGUAUCAAACAGGAUUAGAUACCCUAGUAGUC
rnacentral:rRNA from 1 species